rnacentral:rRNA from 1 species
AACGAACGCUGGCGGCAGGCCUAACACAUGCAAGUCGAGCGGACCUUUCGGGGUCAGCGGCGGACGGGUGAGUAACGCGUGGGAAUAUGCCCUUCUCUACGGAAUAGUCCUGGGAAACUGGGGGUAAUACCGUAUACGCCCUUUGGGGGAAAGAUUUAUCGGGGAAGGAUUAGCCCGCGUUGGAUUAGGUAGUUGGUGGGGUAAUGGCCUACCAAGCCGACGAUCCAUAGCUCGUUUGAGAGGAUGAUCAGCCACACUGGGACUGAGACACGGCCCAGACUCCUACGGGAGGCAGCAGUGGGGAAUCUUAGACAAUGGGGGCAACCCUGAUCUAGCCAUGCCGCGUGAGUGAUGAAGGCCUUAGGGUUGUAAAGCUCUUUCAGCUGGGAAGAUAAUGACGGUACCAGCAGAAGAAGCCCCGGCUAACUCCGUG